rnacentral:rRNA from 1 species
GACGAACGCUGGCGGCGUGCUUAACACAUGCAAGUCGAACGGAAAGGCCCUGCUUUUGUGGGGUGCUCGAGUGGCGAACGGGUGAGUAACACGUGAGUAACCUGCCCUUGACUGUGGGAUAACUUCAGGCAACUGGGGCUAAUACCGGAUAGGAGCUCCUGCUGCAUGGUGGGGGUUGGAAAGUUUCGGCGGUUGGGGAUGGACUCGCGGCUUAUCAGCUUGUUGGUGGGGUAGUGGCUUACCAAGGCUUUGACGGGUAGCCGGCCUGGGAGGGUGACCGGCCACAUUGGGACUGCGAUACGGACCAGACUCCUACGGGAGGCAGCAGUGGGGAAUAUUGCACAAUGGGCGGACGCCUGAUGCAGCAACGCCGCGUGCGGGAUGACGGCCUUCGUGUUGUGAACCGCUUUCGCCUGUGACGAAGCGUGAGUGACGGUAAUGGGUAAAGAAGCACCGGCUAACUACGUG